AUGACCAAGGGCGCCUUCGUCCACUUCUCAAAUGCCCUUGGCAGCACUUCCAAUCGUGAUAUCACGCUUGAUCUUCAUGCCCUUCGGGUGUCGCAGUUUGAUCUUCUUGCGCUUGACGCGCCAUUCACCGAGGAGGAGAUUUGGAACACCGUCAAGAGCAUGCCGACUGGGAAGGCGCCCGGCCCUGAUGGAUUCACCACUGAGUUCUUGGUUGCCUGCUAG
rnacentral:rRNA from 1 species